UAACACUGGUGGCGACCGGCGCACGGGUGAGUAACACGUAUCCAACCUGCCGAUAACUCGGGGAUAGCCUUUCGAAAGAAAGAUUAAUACCCGAUGGCAUAAUAGAACCGCAUGGUUUGAUUAUUAAAGAAUUUCGGUUAUCGAUGGGGAUGCGUUCCAUUAGGCAGUUGGUGGGGUAACGGCCCACCAAACCUUCGAUGGAUAGGGGUUCUGAGAGGAAGGUCCCCCACAUUGGAACUGAGACACGGUCCAA
rnacentral:rRNA from 1 species